UACGUAGGGUGCAAGCGUUGUCCGGAAUUAUUGGGCGUAAAGAGCUCGUAGGCGGUGCGUCGCGUCGGCCGUGAAAACCUGCAGCUUAACUGUGGGCUUGCGGUCGAUACGGGCAUCACUGGAGUUCGGCAGGGGAGACUGGAAUUCCUGGUGUAGCGGUGAAAUGCGCAGAUAUCAGGAGGAACACCGGUGGCGAAGGCGGGUCUCUGGGCCGAUACUGACGCUGAGGAGCGAAAGCGUGGGGAGCGAACAGG
rnacentral:rRNA from 1 species